GGUAGGUGUGUAGGUAGGUAGGUUGGUGUGUAGGUAGGUAGGGUGGUGUGUAGGUAGGUUGGUGUGUAGGUAGGUAGGUAGGUUGGUGUGUAGGUAGGUAGGUUGGUGUGUAGGUAGGUAGGUUGGUGUGGUGGUAGGUAGGUAGGUUGGUGUGUAGGUAGGUUGGUGGUGUGUAGGUAGGUAGGUUGGUGUGUAGGUAGGUAGGUAGGUUGGUGUGUAGGUAGGUAGGUAGGUUGGUGUGUAGGUAGGUAGGUAGGUUGGUGUGU